CACGUAGUAACGCUCGGCUUCCUCUCCCUAGAGACAAGCCGUCUUUGAAUUUCUUCAGCGGGGAAACCCAAGUUAAUGCAGUCUCGUUCGUAGCCAGGUGGUGGCUGCACCUCCAGGCAUCAAAGCUAUGUUCCACACAGGAAAAGAGGAGAAUGACAAAGAUAAAAAGCUUUCUCUAGGCACCUCCUGGCUGGCUUUGACAAAGCAAACUGCCAAGUUAUAAACUGCCUAUGGAAAAGGCCAUGUGGCAAGGAACAGGUGACAGCCAGCAAAGAACUGAGGCCCAACAGUCUGCAAGGAAUUAAAUUUUGCCAACAACCAGACUGGAAGUAGAUUGAAAGUAGAUGCUUCCCAGGACUCUAUGGUGUUCGAGGACCAGAGCUAUAUCAUAAUGGUAAUUUAUAUCAUCUAUACCUAGCUUCCUGCCAGGCACAUACAGGGGUGUGGGGGUUAGUGACUGGUUAGCUAUUGUCACAGAAUACAUGGUGGAAAUAUUAGCCUGGAAUAUUGUCAGAACUUUGCUACUAAGUAACUAUCUGAUCUUGGAUGAAUCAUGUACCCCUCUAUUUCUUCAUAUGCAACAUGAAAAGAUUAAACAAUCUGUAGAUUUACUUUCCAAGCUUAUACUGAAGGGUACAAGGUUGUGUAACUUCCCUUUUCCCAAAAUAAUUUUGAGAAAAAUAAAGGCAAAAUAGUUUAGAGAUGCUGCA